rnacentral:rRNA from 1 species
ACGCUGACACCUACGGGAGGCGGCAGUGGGGAAUAUUGGGCAAUGGGCGAAAGCCUGACCCAGCAACGCCGCGUGAGGGAAGAAGGUUUUCGGAUUGUAAACCUCUGUCCUCAGGGACGAAGGACGUGACGGUACCUGAGGAGGAAGCCCCGGCUAACUACGUGCCAGCAGCCGCGGUAAUCUGAGCGGGCUGGCAAGGC